rnacentral:rRNA from 1 species
UACGUAGGCAGCAAGCGUUGUUCGGAAUUACUGGGCGUAAAGGGCUCGUAGGUGACCAACUAAGUCAGACGUGAAAUCCCUCGGCUUAACCGGGGAACUGCGUCUGAAACUGGAGUGCUUGAGCGUGGGAGAGGAAAGUGGAAUUCCUGGUGUAGCGGUGAAAUGCGUAGAUAUCAGGAGGAACACCUGUGGUGUAGACGGCUUUCUGGACCAUAACUGACGCUGAGACACGAAGACGUGGGUAGCAAACAGG